AUGGGCAUCUCCCUGUUGAUAAACAGCUCUGCCUUUAUUGUGUUCAUGGAGUGAUAAGUUGUCUGGAUCAACAACUAGUUGUCCAUUUUACUUCUUUGCAGCCAAAGUUAUUAGGGUCAAAUUAGGUGUGAGCUGUGAAAUUAAUCAUUACAAGCACAAGCAACAUAGUGUGCUGUGGGCAAAGGAAAAAAAAUAGUUUAGAAGUGGAAAAUAUUGAGAAGCAUGAAGAACCAAAGCAGUCAGGAAAAGGGGAGGAAAAGAACAGCUGGCAAUGCUGUACAAGGUUGUUUAUCUAAGCCUAUGGGCUGUGCUGAAUUUGUUCUCCUGCACCUGUGGACCAUGAAAUCACAGAACAAGGUAGAUCUUUAAUUCCACCUAGUUUGCCCAGAUACAACAAAGAGAGUCUCAGUUAAUCCAUACGCAGUGCCUCAUAGGGAGAGGAAUAUACCUGCCUUUUAUUUACAUAAAGGCACUAUUUCUGGAGCAUGAAUUAGUUGAUAGUAUUCAUUGCACAUCUUCAAUGUGGCCCCACUGGAAGCAUUUCAUGGGACUUGUAAUAAUUAUUCAUUUCAGGAGGAUCUGCAGCUAUUGCUACUGAUACAGACUGAGUUGUGCCCAGCCUGCAUCUGACAAGUGGGCAACACACAUAGUUUAGUUAGAUACACAUUUGUUUAUGAAUACUACCCCAAAAUAAUCAAAUUAUUUUCUGAAUAUUUAAUUUUAAAAAGUGAGCUAUUUUCUUUUUUUCUUUUUUUUUCUUUUUUUUUUUUUUAGGGACUGGGUUUAUGAAGAUAGAAGCUGAAUCGCUAAUCUGAGUUACAUGGAUCUAGUUCUCACUGGAAGUAAAGUCCAACAAAUCUAAGUUAUUAGGUGGAAUUUCUAAGAUGAGAAUCCAGUCCAUCAUUCUGAGGCAGCAUUUGACAAUUGGCAUAUAACCUAUACCUAGGAAUUGUGUCCUAUGAAUCAUGCUUUUUCCUUAGCAAUUGCUCCUCCCUGUAGAGCAGGAAUCAUGGUACUGGCUGGCAACAAGAGAUUAUGUGGAAAUCUGUUAACCAAGCUUGGAAGGAGCAUGCAGUUCAAAGGUCAAAUGUAUGAAAGCAAAGCCUGCUUGAUAUACCAAGAGCUCUUUGUAAAUUUGAUUCUAACUGAGAAGCUAUAGAGCUGUGAAGGGGCGAAGGGCAGAGGAGAUAGUGCAGCACCCGCUGAAACGCUUCCAUUUUGUUUUCUGAGCUACUGCCACAAGGAAAGACUGCCUUCUGUGCUGAUGACAGAUCUGCCCUUCUGUUAUCAGACACUGCUCUUUUGCUAUCUCAGUUUCAUAACAAUUACCUCUGCCUGAGAGCUAUGGAUCAGCCACAUUGGGCAAAGCAGUCCUCUGAGAAAGAGAAUGAUGGAUGACAGAGUGAUUCCCUUCAACAUGACUGGGGCACUGAGGUUGUAUCAAUUUUUUCUCUCUCCUUAUAACUCCUCCCUUUCCCUGCUCUGCAUUCUUAACGUGAAUCACAAUAUUUCUGCAUGAACAGCAUGCACACGUGUAACUUUAAAAAAUUUAUGGCACUGCUGUCUGCCACAUUUGUUGAAAUUGUCAGGAAAGUAAUGAUUGCUACAGGUGGCAGAGGCUGCUGGAUGAACAUCAUAAGGUAUACAGGGAGAAAAACUGACUACCUUUGCCAAUUUUCAAGUAUUUACACCAGUACUACUGCUUCUUUUUUUCCCCGUAAUGCUCACAUGUCAUUUGCUACAGCUCAUGUACUGACCUUCUGCAUCUGCCCCAAAAGGGAGCAGGCCUGGUGUUCAUACUGCGCCGUGUUUCUGCUCGACCCUAGGGUUGAGUUUGCAGUGACACAAUUUUACUGGCACAGAAUUUGGAAGAUGUUGUACCAGAACUAAACAAAGUGUGUCUGGAAGCAUCUUGUCCUAAAAAGCAUGUGCAGGCAGUACAGAUUUCCUUAUAGAGAUGGGUUCAUGUGACUGGCUCUCAGCUGUAUUGAAAAUCAGCUUUGUAUUCAUGUCCUUCCCUGAAAUACUCUCAUAGUUGAUUUAAGCAGUCUUUAGCUGAGAUCAUAUUUCUAGUUUGGGAUUCCCUUCAUACAUCUUUCAUUAAGACAGGGAUUCUCUGCAGUCAGAGACCAGCACCACAGAACAGCUGGAUCCAUUUUGGCUUGACAAGGG
ensembl:lncRNA